rnacentral:rRNA from 1 species
GACGAACGCUGGCGGCGUGCCUAAUACAUGCAAGUAGAACGCAGUUGCGAACGGGUGAGUAACGCGUAGGUAACUGCCUCAUAGCGGGGGAUAACUAUUGGAAACGAUAGCUAAUACCGCAUACUGAGAGAUGGACCUGCGUUGUAUUAGCUAGUUGGUGAGGUAAAGGUUCACCAAGGCGACGAUACAUAGCCGAACUGGGGGGGGUGUCGGCCAAAAUGGGACUGGGAACCGGGCCGGAAUCCUACGGGAGGCAGCAGUAGGGAAACUUCGGCAAUUGACGGAAGUCUGACCAAGCAACGCCGCGUGAGUGAAGAAGGUUUUCGGAUCGUAAAGCUCUGUUGUGAGAGAAGCGUUAACUAACCAGAAAGGGACGGCUAACUACGUGCCAGCAGCCGCGGUAAUUC